rnacentral:rRNA from 1 species
UUCGUAGGUGGCAAGCGUUGUCCGGAUUUACUGGGCGUAAAGAGCGCGCAGGCGGUCGUUCAAGUCGCGUGUGAAAGCCCCCGGCUCAACUGGGGAGGGUCACGCGAUACUGAUCGACUCGAAGGCAGGAGAGGGAAGUGGAAUUCCCGGUGUAGUGGUGAAAUGCGUAGAUAUCGGGAGGAACACCAGUGGCGAAGGCGACUUCCUGGCCUGUUCUUGACGCUGAGGCGCGAAAGCUAGGGGAGCAAACGGG